GUCGGAGGCGAGUCCCUGGGUCUUGGCUCCAGACCCUGCAGAAGGCCCCAUCACGGGGUUGAGAGCAAUGACUCGGCAGAAAUGAAAGCAGGAGACUGCUAGCAACCAAAUGAGGGGGCGUGUGUUCGAUCCCUGGUCUGGGAAGAUCCCACAUGUCUCGGAGCAACUAAGCCCUGCACCACAACUACUGAGCCCGAGCUCUAGAGCCACGAGCUGCAACUAGCCCGUGCUCCGCAACAAGAGAAACCACUGCAAUAAGAAGGCGGUGCACCGCAGCAGAGUAGCCCCUGCUCAUCGCAACUACAGAAAGCCCACGCAAAGCAAGGAAGACCCAGCAAAGCCAAAAAUGAAAUAAAUCAGUUCAGUUCAGUCGCUCA
ensembl:lncRNA